rnacentral:rRNA from 1 species
GUGAUGGUGGGAACUCAAAGGAGACUGCCGGUGAUAAACCGGAGGAAGGGUGGGGAUGACGUCAAGUCAUCAUGGCCCUUACGAGUAGGGCUACACACGUGCUACAAUGGCAGAUACAAAGUGAAGCGAACUCGCGAGAGCAAGCGGACCACAUAAAGUCUGUCGUAGUCCGGAUUGGAGUCUGCAACUCGACUCCAUGAAGUCGGAAUCGCUAGUAAUCGUAGAUCAGAAUGCUACGGUGAAUACGUUCCCGGGCCUUGUACACACCGCCCGUCACACCAUGGGAGUGGGUUGCAAAAGAAGUAGGUAGCUUAACCUUCGGGAGGGCGCUUACCACUUUGUGAUUCAUGACUGGGGUGAAGUCGUAACAAGGUAACCGUA